UACAGAGGUCUCAAGCGUUGUUCGGAUUCAUUGGGCGUAAAGGGUGCGUAGGUGGCGCUGUAAGUCAGGUGUGAAAUUUCGGAGCUCAACUCCGAAACUGCAUUUGAUACUGCGGUGCUUGAGGACUGGAGAGGAGACUGGAAUUCACAGUGUAGCAGUGAAAUGCGUAGAUAUCGUGAGGAAGACCAGUGGCGAAGGCGGGUCUCUGGACAGUUCCUGACACUGAGGCACGAAGGCCAGGGGAGCAAACGGG
rnacentral:rRNA from 1 species